rnacentral:rRNA from 1 species
UGCUAAUACAUGCAAGUCGAGCGAACAGAUAAGGAGCUUGCUCCUUUGAAGUUAGCGGCGGACGGGUGAGUAACACGUGGGUAACCUACCUAUAAGACUGGGAUAACUUCGGGAAACCGGAGCUAAUACCGGAUAACAUUUAGAACCGCAUGGUUCUAAAGUGAAAGAUGGUUUUGCUAUCACUUAUAGAUGGACCCGCGCCGUAUUAGCUAGUUGGUAAGGUAACGGCUUACCAAGGCGACGAUACGUAGCCGACCUGAGAGGGUGAUCGGCCACACUGGAACUGAGACACGGUCCAGACUCCUACGGGAGGCAGCAGUAGGGAAUCUUCCGCAAUGGGCGAAAGCCUGACGGAGCAACGCCGCGUGAGUGAUGAAGGGUUUCGGCUCGUAAAACUCUGUUAUUAGGGAAGAACAAAUGUGUAAGUAACUGUGCACAUCUUGACGGUACCUAAUCAGAAAGCCACGGCUAACUACGUGCCAGCAGCCGCGGUAAUACGUAGGUGGCAAGCGUUAUCCGGAAUUAUUGGGCGUAAAGCGCGCGUAGGCGGUUUCUUAAGUCUGAUGUGAAAGCCCACGGCUCAACCGUGGAGGGUCAUUGGAAACUGGGAAACUUGAGUGCAGAAGAGGAAAGUGGAAUUCCAUGUGUAGCGGUGAAAUGCGCAGAGAUAUGGAGGAACACCAGUGGCGAAGGCGACUUUCUGGUCUGUAACUGACGCUGAUGUGCGAAAGCGUGGGGAUCAAACAGGAUUAGAUACCCUGGUAGUCCACGCCGUAAACGAUGAGUGCUAAGUGUUAGGGGGUUUCCGCCCCUUAGUGCUGCAGCUAACGCAUUAAGCACUCCGCCUGGGGAGUACGACCGCAAGGUUGAAACUCAAAGGAAUUGACGGGGACCCGCACAAGCGGUGGAGCAUGUGGUUUAAUUCGAAGCAACGCGAAGAACCUUACCAAAUCUUGACAUCCUUUGAAAACUCUAGAGAUAGAGCCUUCCCCUUCGGGGGACAAAGUGACAGGUGGUGCAUGGUUGUCGUCAGCUCGUGUCGUGAGAUGUUGGGUUAAGUCCCGCAACGAGCGCAACCCUUAAGCUUAGUUGCCAUCAUUAAGUUGGGCACUCUAGGUUGACUGCCGGUGACAACCGGAGGAAGGUGGGGAUGACGUCAAUCAUCAUGCCCCUAUGAUUGGGCUACCACGUGCUACAUGGACUACAAAGGGCAGCUAAACCGCGAGGUCAUGCAAAUCCCAUAAAGUUGUUCUCAGUUCGGAUUGUAGUCUGCAACUCGACUACAUGAAGCUGGAAUCGCUAGUAAUCGUAGAUCAGCAUGCUACGGUGAAUACGUUCCCGGGUCUUGUACACACCGCCCGUCACACCACGAGAGUUUGUAACACCCGAAGCCGGUGGAGUAACCAUUUAUGGAGCUAGCCGUCGAAGGGGACAAAG